rnacentral:rRNA from 1 species
UUUCGCAAUGCCCGAAAGGGUGACGAAGCGACGCCGCGUGGGUGAGGAAGGCCUUCGGGUUGUAAAGCCCUGUCAGGAGUUACGAAAUGUAAGUGCGCUAAUACCGCAUUUAUUUGACGAAGGCUCCAAAGGAAGUCACGGCUAACUCUGUGCCAGCAGCCGCGGUAAUACAGAGGUGGCAAGCGUUGUUCGGAAUUAUUGGGCGUAAAGAGCACGUAGGUGGGUUUGUAAGUCAGAUGUGAAAGCCUCCUGUUCAACGGGAGAAUUGCAUCUGAAACUACAGAUCUUGAGUGUAGGAGGGGAGAAUGGAACUUCUGGUGGAGCGGUGAAAUGCGUAGAUAUCAGAAGGAACGCCGGCGGCGAAAGCGAUUCUCUGGCCUAUUACUGACACUCAGUGUGCGAAAGCUAGGGUAGCAAACGGGAUUAGAUACCCCGGUAGUCCUAGCCGUAAACGAUGGGCACUAAGUAGAGGGGUUUUA